GGGAAAUUGAUACCUUUUUUCAGAAAGUGGUAUCAAUUCCCCGUGCGUAAUACAAAAUGACUGAAAAACGGCAAACUUCCCAGGGCUGUAUUAUCCGCAUUUUACAACAUUUCGCAACGAAACUUCGGAAUAUUACUAAUUUUGUGAUGCUCUUUCAAGCUGUGAAAUUUUUGUCUAGACUUGUCUAGAUCAAAAUUUUAUUCAUUAGGGAAUAGGUCCAUUAUAAAAUGUUUAGCUUUUACUACGAACAUAUGGUGAUACUGGGCAGCGGUUUUACGAUUGCUGGUGUUGAAAUGUUUGGGUAAUGCCCCCCCCCCCCC